UUCAAGGCAAACAACAUAGGACACCAUUUUCUAGAGGAGUUGCAACAAGAGCAAACCAAUUGCUGGAGCUUGUGCAUUCGGAUGUUUGUGGAUCCAUGAGGACACCAUCUAUGAGUGGUAGUGAAAAGUGGGAGAUGUGUCCAAGUGGAAGUAGUGGUGUGUUUGUGGACACAUCUUUAAUUCCAACAAACAAACAAGAAGAU
rnacentral:lncRNA from 1 species